GAAUGCUUGUUUACUGUGUAUUAAUUCGCUUCUUGUGUUUAAUGAUUAGCAGCGUUCACGACCGCUGAUAGACUGCAAGCCCCGGAGGCUUCUACACCUCUAGAAAUUAAGCCCCACCCUCACCUGAGAUUUACCACCCGGUAAAAAUGUGCGCGGUCUUUAAGGACAGUCAAAUGUGUGGAAAACAGUAAACAAACAAAAAAAUGGAUGUACGUGCUUUAGCAUAUUGAAAACCAUGUCAAGAAAAGAUCGAAAAAGAGUUAAUCCCAUUGAAGAGUCAAUUAGGAAAUGGAGUGAAAAGAAUAUUGAUCCACCAGGAUUUAAUAGAAGUUUAUUUGAGAACAAAGGCAGAGGAGUCAGAACAACUGUCCGCAGAAAUGCAGGCGACUUUUUGUUAGUGUAUACAGGAAAGGUUAUAACAACGAAGGAAGGUGAGAACUUGGAAGAAGGGUUCUCAUCUGGCUACAGAUUUUGUUUACAGAGAUUUGUGUGUUGAUGCAUCAGAAGAAGAUGGUAGAUUGGGAAGGCUUGUGAACCAUGGGAGCAAGAAAGAGAUCAACUGCAAAAUGAAAUUAAUAGGGGAAGUGCUAUGUCUUUUUGGAACCAGAGAUAUACAUGAGGGAGAAGAGCUAUUAUAUGACUAUGGACUCAAGUCUUAUCCAUGGAAUUCUAAG